UGCAGGAGCUUUGGGGUCCUGUGGGUACUGGACUCUUUAUCAGCUUCUCUGCUGACUUCCUAUGUGAUCUUGGAGAAGUCAAUUUGGAUGCAGUUUUCAGAAGCACUGCUGAAAGCUGCCAUCUUUUUGGAGCACUGCUGCUUCUUGCUGCUGUUUCUGUGUAUGUGCCCUUGGCCUGAGGCAGUGGGAUCCCUGUCUCAAGUAACAGUGAUGGCAUCUCAGAGUGGUGCAGUAUGUACCUUCCAGUGAUCGCGAAUCUCCACUGACUGCCAUGGCCUUUUGAAGAGGACAAAGAGUAGCCUCACAAUGAUGUUGGGCUGCUCCUUCAGCACCCUCAGACACAUCUGCUCUGGCCCAUGGAGGUCUGUAUAUCCAAGCGGGUUAAGUGAUCCCUAACUUCAACUUCCUCUCCUGUGAGUACUUCAUGUGCUUCAUACCCAUGGACUCAGCUGUGAGGCUUAUGGACCUGGGAAGUCUGGGGGGGCAAAGCCUACCAGCAAAAACUGAGGCAAAAAGGCAUUGUAUAACAGCCUUUUAGAUGUUCUUUGUCAUUAGAUCCAAUGAGCAAUAGGCCCAUGCUGUUUGCUGGCAACAUACUUUAAAAAAUCCUACUUGUAUUUCACAUCCCUUGCUAGUGCCAGCUCCAGCUGAGUUUUGGCUUUCCCAGCUCCAUCCCUGCCAGGGCAAGCAGUGUCUCUGUUCCUCCUGGGCUGUUUGCCUCUGCUUCCACCUUCUGUGGACUUCUUUUUUAGUACUUAGAUCAGUCUUCCUCUUCAGUUUUAGCUCUGUGAUCCACUAAUGUGUCUUCUGCUCUAACCCACAGAAACUUUGCCAUCAUUCUCACAGGAACAAUAAUAUGGUCUUCAUUUUAAUCGUGUUCCAGUUUCUUUUGUGCUUGAUCUAGAAAGGAAAAUGCAUGAGGCCAAUACUUGGCAAACCCUUUUCGUAUAGCAGUUAAGAAUAAAUAGAUGUACCACUGAGCUAAUAAUCAGACAAAUCUUAUAUGCAAAGUGGAUUGUGAAAAUAUGUAUUUGUUUUUUGAAAAUGUUUUCAAACUUACUUGCCUUCCACAAUAUUUCAAAGAAACUGUGUUAAUUCAGAUUUCUCCAUUUUUUUCUGUGAACCAUCUUUCUCUCUGAACAGUCCACAGACAUUCACUGAAGGUGCUUAUACUUAAGAUGACAUUCCACUCUUUGUGAGAGACUGCUGCUUUAACAGGCCUGUUUACAUUGCAUAGAUUCUACUUUUAAUGAUUUGGGGACAUACAUUUUGAAAAUUAUUUUAUUCCAGCAUUCAAGCUUUUGGAAAUCCACCUUUUCCCAAUUGGCUUUGAACUGCUCAAAUAUUAGUUGAAGGACAAGAGUGAAUCAGCAACAGAAUUGAGUAAAACUUAAUUUUGCGUUUCUGAUUUUCUACUGAUCAUCUCACCCUCCUUUGCAGUUGAAGAAGGCGCUUACAGGUAAAAGCUGAGGGGCUGUAAACUUCUCUUAAUUUUUUUGCAUAGGAUAAUGCAACUGUCACAGUUUCAGAGGAACAACACAGAACAAGUUUUAUUUGUUUGUAAAACAUAGCAUAGGUUGUACAGCCUGACUGAUUUUAAUUACAAUAAUACACAAGAGAACAGUUUGAAGAAAGAGAUCAGCAAAACUUGAUAAGUUUUCUACACCAGAGCAUGAUUUAGUUUUUACAGAUCUCUGAUCUGAUAGCUACAGUUAUGCUUGUUCAUUGCCCAUGAUCUGUUUAGGUCUUGCAUUUACACUUUAAAGAAGCUUGCAGGAAAGUUUUGAUUUAUUAAAGUGCUCACAAGUUAAACGUAUAGCUUGAAAGGGAUAGCCAGGUGAAAUAGCAUCUUUCAGUGUUCCCACUGAUUUUCCUAUGUUUUGGAGCAAUGUAACUUUAAGCCAGUGUGUCACAGCACAUGAAGUUCCUGUGAAAGUCAGUCAGGAUAUAUCCUGUAGGUUUGUUAUGGAGCAUGCAACCACAAAAUAUGGAUCAGAAACAUAAAAAUGGACCCAGAAAUCUGCAACUAGUUAGGGCUGUGCAAGAUGUCCACAAUGAAAACAGAAACUUGCAUGAGAUUUGUUUAGUUUAAGGAUUUGCUUAAAACUCAGAUUAAAAACUGUUUUGUCUUUUGACAAACUAUUUGUCCAAAAGUUUGUUCAAGUCCACUAACUUGCCUGCUAACUCUAAAUUAAUUUUUAGAUAAACCUGGGUUGAUUUAUAAGCUGGUAUCAAAAAUCACACUAAACUUGUGGUUUCGUACGGUUUAAACUGGCCAUGCUAUAAAAACAAGGUAGCUUUCGGUGGUUUUGGCUGGGUUUUGAAUGGCUAUUUUGAGUUCAUUAGAGCCCCAAACUGAAGGUAGAAAGUCUAGAGGUGCCAACACUGCGGGAGCCAUGUUGGCUUCUGCAAGGGCAGGACUAUAAGUGGAGGAAUCUGUCUUUUCUCGGGGUUAGAGGCGCUUCUGUGCUCUAUCACAGAAGAAAGCAAGUUCGUGUGUCGUAAAGGGGGAGUAUGCAUUCAGGCAGAAGAGUAACCGCUGCAAGUUCAAGACUUAUUUAUCCAGUUGUGAGUUGAGAGUGUUUCUACUUGCUUUAUUAUGUCUACUAGUAUUAACCUCUUUCUUCAACUCAUGCCAGAUUUUAUCAGCGAUAUAUGUUUUGACAGGCGAGUAGCUAUUUUUGGAAUGGGGCUUGCGUUUCCGUAACCACUUCUUCUGCAUCUGUCUUUGGUGAUUCAGGAGGGAAUUCAUCCACUUGUCUUCUCUGAAGUCUGACCCUCCAUGCUUCUUCUAUUAUGUGCACAAUUUCACAUAUUAAAUUUAUUUCUUGUGUUGUGUUUAUUUUAAAACUUUAUUCAGUCACAUGUCACUGUGUGCAUUUAAAAGGAGCCACAGAUAUUUACAAGGCAAUUUUAACAUUUAGCAAUUACUUUUGUCGGGCUUGGUGCUUUAAUAGCUGUGGUUGUAUCAACCUUGGCUGAUAUUUCCUAAUUAUUCAUACCUAGAAGUAUUAUCAGCCAUCACAGAGUGUUACCAGCAUCAUUUUAAGCUCUCUUCACCUUCUUCAGUCUGGGUUUUAUUUGAAAAGCAGACAUGCAGUCCCCAGUGAGAAUUAAAGUAGAAGCAUUAGCUUGCAAAAUAUAUGCCAAUGACCUAAUGAUUCUGACAUUUCCACAAUACAAGCUUUACAAGAAGGCAUGCAGACAGCAAAGUCUGUUUUUCUAUCUCAUAUUUUUUUAAUGGCUAAAUGUUUGGAGGAAACAAAAUGGAUUUAUUCUGCUCAAUCCAGGGUAUAAUAUCAGGACUUAUCCGGUUCCGGGCCCCAGGGCUUCAGACAACUAACAAAACACAUCUUACUUCUGCUCUGCUAGUUCUCUGUUAUGCUUUUCACAUGCAGGAAGAAAGAGUAAAAGCAUAACCCAAUUGAAUAAAGCAGCAUGGCCUGCUAUUCUUUGCUUAUGAAGCAUCACAUGAUAGACACCAGAUUAAGAAGAACCCCCCACCUGUGGUUAAGUGUGUAUGCAACUGUCAAGCCGUUUUAUUUAAUAUAGAGGGAACUUCAACAUCCCUUUUGCUGCCAGAGUGCAAGAAUACGUUAAAAACAUUAAUGUCUUACCAGAGCAUGCUUCAAUUUUUUUAAUAAUCCAGUGAUUUUAUGUCAUUUAAAUAGAAUCAAAGAUGCUGCUCCCCGAUCUAUUUUGAAAUGCUCUAAUCUAUCAAAUCUUUUGCUCUGAUAUAUGGAAAGAAAAGUAAUCUGAGGUUCUCCUUGUAGAGUUUAAGCUGCAAUUUGUUUUUUGGCUAUUCAGUCGCUGUUUAUAUAAGGAUGUAUAGGGAUAGGGCUGUUUGCCAUGAUAUGGUAAAAAAAAAAAAAACAUCUUUUCUAAUAAAAAUAAGAUGCUAUUUAAACAAGAGGUUAAAUGAAAUCUAUCCUCUCCAUUGACCUUUCAGACUGUGGUAAGCAGAGAACAUACAGUGCCAAUUUUAUGACACAGUCACGUCAAACAAAUUGUAUGUGAUAUAUUUUAGUUACAAUUUCAAAGAAGGUUUUGAUGUAAGAGUCAGAAGGGAACAGUAACUUCAUGGACCAACCACCUAAUGCCUAAGACAUGCCAUAUGCAAGAACAUUCCCUUAACCACGGAGUUUUCUGGUUCAUUUCCUUGAAGUACUCCAAAUUUUUCCUGUCGUUACCCUGAGAAGUCACAAGCAAAUCUGAUGGCGAUGUCAAAGUCUUAGAGGUGUCUGGCAUUUGUUUGGGUACUGGGCUGGCAAUUUUCUCAUUUGUGUUUUUCCUUCCUCUCCUUCUGCAGGUGAUGAUCUAGUUGCAGUGAUUUUUCAUACCUACGUAUAUUAGGGUUCUUGCAGCUUAAAUUUCAGAGGAGGCCUGUGUACAUUAGAAUCUUGUAAAUCUGAAUUGCUUUCUUGUGACACUGUUCAGUAAAUAAGGAAUGGAGGAAUCACUUCAAAAUCAUUAGAAAUAUCUGUACCACGGUUGCCGUUGCUGACUUCUGUGACAGGAAUAUUUCAAAUACCUGGCUAUAGACCAAAGAAAUGUAAGCUUCAAAAGUGGGCUCGUCACCGUAUGUGAAAACCCAGCCUUUGCUAAGCAUAAGAAUCAUGAGUUCCUUUGGGGGAUUUAGCCUGAAAUGAACAUGAUUUCUUUUCUUCUAAAGCUUCUUCCCCGCAGUUGCUGUUUCUCUCUGUGCAUAUAGAGGGAAAGCAUUGCUAUUGCCAUCAUUAGCGUACAGCGUCUUGUUUUAAUUUUUAAUGUAGGCUUCUAUUUGCCACAGAGGCGAAAGCUGUGGAAGCCUUCUGCCUUUGAAGAACUACUUAAGAAGAAAUGGUUCUGAAGUGCAUUUAAGGGUGUUUACUUUAGGCACUUUAUUUUUUUCUUUAUUUUUAUUCUGAUUGGAAUUGGCUAGUGUUAUUCAUUAAACUAACAAUUUCUCCCCUGCCUGUCCUUAAGUGUGACUUGUGACCUUGCAAUCUGUGUAUUUUGUCAUCACAAUGUGUUACCAUGGAACUGAUUUUGAUGUCAUGAAUAAGGGCAUUGUGAGUUUCCACGUUCCCAAGCAUAUUUGAGACACAGGUUUGGAAACAAAAAUGACUUCACCAGUUAAAUAUUGUUAGAUCCUAUAGUAUAUCAAAGGUAAGAACACUUGUGCCCUAUAUUCCUUUACAUAGAAGAAUCUAAGGUUAAGAAUUUCAAAGCAGGUAUAUACAAGAAUGACACUACAAAUAACAUUUCACAAGAUUAAAUAUUUUGUGAGAAUUGAACUCUAACCCCUUUAUGUUACUAUAGACAAAAAUCUUUCUUACUGCUCGUCAAGACUUCUCAGACUGUCUAAUAUGGAGCCUGUGUAAGAGGAAGAAACCCAGUGUGCACAACAGCACUGGGAUGCUGCUGGGACUUAACUCCUUCAAGACAAUAGUGGCCGAAGGGAAUUUUCUGCCUGAGAUCGCUCACAGGCAGACAGAGGGCAAUGUAACAUUGCUGGUUUUGAAGCUAAGCAUAAUAUUUGAGCAUUUUUCAGAAGCGAGACU